GCGUGUUAUGGUUGGGAGCGUGUUAUAGGGCAAAAAAUACGGUCAUAUAUGUUUAUGUAACCUCUAGGCAAUCAGGGCUUUUUGUGGUGUGUUUUUUUAGAAGAUCUACCAUUAUGUUUUAUUUGCCUUUUUAUCAUAUAAUUUUUUUUAAAUCACGCUCAUUGAGCGUUCUGUUUAUAUAUCAUAAGAUUAUUUUCAACACAAAUUGGCAUUCAUUAUAACUCUAGAUUAUUCUUUUUUAAAAGAUGCAUUUUAAUUUGUAUAGAACAGUUUGCAUUAUUAGCAGUACAAUUAACGAUGACAAAUGCACUCAGAGCUAAUGGAAGAAAAUUAUUGUGAAAUUUCAGGUUUUCCUUUGCACCAAAUAGGAAUAGUAUCAUUGCAAGUCCUAAAACUGUAUCUUGUCAUGCUUAGUCAGGAUAUAAAAAGGUUCCAGGGCACUUUUUCAUUGCAGUAGAAGAAUUGCUAUGAGACUGAACCCGGUGGUGUUUGCAGCAUGCUUAAGGUAUGAAACAAUAAGAGAACAGUUAGGGUUGUUUUCCCUGUCUUCUUAACCCCCAAAAUAUUUGUGCAUAAUUUUAGUAAACAUAACUCACAAUUGCUUUGUCAAUUGAUACUACCCUCAUGAAGUGUCAAAAUGAACAGGUAGAACUUCCAUCGUCUUCUAUGAAAUCCCAGCAGAAUUGGAGCACAAAGUUUAAUCACAGCUUGAAAUUGAGCCCUUUGUUAAAGUUACUAACACUGCAUUGAACCUAUCCAAGGACAGUGGCAUUAAGAAACUUUCUAUUCACUCAGUAGAUUUAGGUCAAAGCCUUCAAUGGUGGUUCCAUGUAUUUAGGAGUGGAAGUGAGAGUUUCUGUGUUUGAGGAACUAAAUUACAUUUCUUUUACGAGGAAGCCAGAGUUGAGAGCUAUUUGUAGAUGAAUUUCCUGUAGCUUUAAUAUAAAUUGGGUAGGGAAGUUUGCCUGUCUUAUCAUUUGUUUCUAAGAAAGUUGCUGGUCUUAACAUCUGCCCUCUCAAAAACAAAAGGCAUAAUAAAAUCUCAGAACAUCCCAAACACCUGAGCAGCUUUCACAUUACCUGCAUUAUGCAGGUACAUAGGCAAAACAUGGAAUGGGGCUGCAUUGUUGGCCCCACCUCUGACAUGCACAGUCAUGCUAGAUCAACCCUACAAUGUCUGGACGUCUGAAGAUCUGACAAUACAUAAGAACUACUAUUCAGACAUCCAUGUUCAGUCUGUAUAUGGGAGGGAAGGCAACACUUUAUGGCUGCAAACUCACUGGUACCUCUGGGUAGACAUUGCAUAUUCUACAGAUAAAUACAGACGAUGCGGUCCUUGACCUUAAGCUUGCAAUCUAAAAAGACACAACGCAAAAGGAAAACAGAUUGGGAGGGAAGAGAAAACAAGCACAACAGAUACAAGUUCUUCUGAUGUCUAAUUGGGGUGCGGGAAACUCGAGGAGAGGAGAAACCAGCAAUUGCUUGUCUCCUAAGAUGUGCCCCUGCUUCUUUUCACUUCCCCUCUGCUACAGCCUGACGUAAUGGAUUCUGCCAGUGAAAUUGGGAGGGAGCAGCCUAGCUUCUCAGAAGAACUAACCAUUUGCCCCCUCUAAGGUCUGAUCCAGGACCCCAUUUCUGCAAUUUCCAUAGCUACCACUGAAGGAAAUCGAAGCUAUUUUCCUAAGUAAAUUGCACAGGGAGCAGGGGGGAGUUAAAGCUCCCCCCCCCCAUACCAGUGUAGAGUUUGGGUACACUAUAUUGAGAAAACCCCCAGCAACCAGGGCUGUGGGAUGCUUGCCCUCAAGGGCUAACUACGAAGUCAGAUGACUUGAAAAGUGAGACGUUAACUAACUAACUAAAGCUCUGUAAGAGGAAAAGUACGCUGCUGGGAAAAGUCGAUUGACUUUAUUCCAUUUGUUAACAUAUUACUAGCAUUAUGUCAGUGACAGACUGUGUAUGUUAAAUGACAGACAAAUUACAUCUUGUCAGGUAAUUUAAUAAGACUUGAAUGCUUAUUAAUGUAGGUUCUUCUUCUGCACAUAAGGCAGGUUUCGUAUUAUACAGCAGAAUUUCACGCAGAUGGGAGAAACGACAUUGCAGAUUUUCGGAAAUCCUUGGCAAGGGUUCUUAUCCCCCCCAAUCAUCUGUCAGUUUAGAAAACGUAUAUAUCACAUUUACUGUGUGUGUUGCAUCAUUCGAAAAUAUCAUAAACAGUCAUAAAUAUGAUAUUAAAACUACUGAAAUCUUAAUAUUCUUAAAAAUAGGCUCCUAAUUGAAGCAUCCCAUUUAAUAUUCAUACUUAGAUUAAGAGGUAUGAACGAACAUUUCCUCUGCAACAUGGUGCUUUUGCAAAACCAACAACAAUUGCUGCACAGUAGUAUCCACUUGGAACUGCGAGUCAUAAUACAGCCAAAAUUAACUAUUUAAUAUACAGAAGUCUAUUAAGAACUGAUUCAUAGUGAUGUUCCUCUUGGAGAUUACUGGGAAACAUGCACUCUUGCUCCAAUCUCCUGCAAUUAUAGUCAGAGAAAAAUUAUAUUCAAAUAUUAAAGAGACUACCAGUCAUCCAUAGAAUUGCCAUAAUUAAGAAAGAACAGUCCUUGAAUAGUCAUUAAGUAGUCUUAGCAAUUCAGAUUAAGCUUAGUAAAGUGAAAGGAAGCUCUUUCCACUGUACAGUAGCCUUUUCAGUGUCUCUUCAUCAUAAUGAAAAUGUGAAUAGUUCUGUCCCACUAGAAUUACUCUAGCGUCUAUUCUUAGGUCAUUACGUUUAAGAAUAUGAAGCUGACAAUGAUUGAAAAUGCCGACAUUUAUAGAGAUGCCUGCCUGUUAACUGUGAUUUUCCCUAGUUUAUAGAAUAUCCUUAAGUUAUCUGUGAAAUCAGUUGACAAAGCAGAAAGACUGACAUCGCAGAUUAUUCAGUGCAAUGAGUACAUCACCAAAAAUGCAUGCUCAUUGUAUAGAUUUCUGAGUAUUUCUCCUAGUCUCUUAAAGACUUUUAUCAGUAAGUAUUCACAUUGUACGUAAACAUUUAUUCAGCAUUAUACCUCCUCUCUCUCUGACUUCCCCUGCCCUAAGGAGAAAUGGCAAUACCUUUAGAAUUCCCAGUUCCUAGCUAUGUCUGAAACAUACACACAUGCUGAAUACUCUCAAUUUUACACUCAGGCUAUGAAAUUUUAAUUUCUAACUUUCUUAAAAAUUGAGAAAGUUACGGUUUCUGGAACAUUUCCACUGCAUCUCGCGAUUAUGGGAUAUUUUUUGUGUUUAAUGUCUAAAAGACUACUGUAUUUACAAAUACUGAAAAAGGAAAUACUAUAAUUUUAAUAAAAGACUCAGACAUUUUUGCCCAGCUAUGUGCUUUCCCAGAAAGUCUUUUCAAACAUCAUCAUCAGAUCACUUUUUAAUGUUGCGCUUCAGGCUUUCUGGUAGAAUUAUUGUCGUGAGUCAUAUUUAACCUUUGUACAAUUUCGGGUUGCAGGCAGAGGUAGAGAUGAAAUACUUCUUCAUCCUGAAGUACGCCAAUGAUUCUUUACAGUCAUUGGAGACUGACAUGCAGUUAAGAGCUUAGACAGGGAGCUACAUCAGAAAUGAAAUCUUUGUUUUGUCUGCUUCCUAUUAUCACCUGGCGAUUUGCUAAUCAGCUGACCAGUUAAGGAAGAGCUUUUCUAUGUGAGGCCCCAUUGGUAAAGCGAAACCAUUUUCGGACACAAACAUGAGGAAUGUAUAGCAGCCAUGAUUUCUGAGUGGCUAUAUGUUUUCUGUUUUGAGUGGCGCUGUGAUGAGGUUUUUACGAAUCCUUGUGUGCAGCAUCUGCAGAUAAUAAAGAAGCACUUAUUUUUGUAAUUUCUUUGUGCUACUACUGAUAUUGAAAUGCCCCUCCCCGAAUGCUAUGGCAGUAAGUCAUGUGACAGAAACUCAUGUGUCAGAGUUGGCAUAUGCUGAAUACGGAUGUUUGAGAAUUUAGCCAGAAACAGAAGUGCAAAUUCCUGGUGUUUGCUUAUUUGUCCCAUGUCCAGAACAAAAAGCCAUCAGGCCAAUAACUAUUGAUAUUUACUGUUGCUAUUGUUUUCAGUCUCCAAAUGAUACAUAACUGCUCAUGUUCGCUCCCACCACCACCACAUUUCCAUUUCGUUUCCUUUCCAUUGAAAUGAAUGGUUUGGGAAAAUAUAAUAUAUUACAUAAUUAAUUAUGUAAAAUUCCAUCCCAACAGAUUUUGUUGUUGUUUAGUCGUGUCCGACUCUUCGUGACCCCAUGGACCAGAGCAUGCCAGGCACCUCCUGUCUUCCACUGCCUCCCGCAGUUUGGUCAGGCUCAUGUUUGUAGCUUCGAGAACACUAUCCAACCAUCUCGUCCUCUGUCGUCCCCUUCUCCUUGUGCCCUCCCUCUUUCCCAACAUCAGGGUCUUUUCCAGGGAGUCUUCUCUUCUCAUGAGGUGGCCAAAGUAUUGGAGCCUCAACUUCACGAUCUGUCCUUCCAGUGAGCACUCAGGGCUGAUUUCCUGAAGAAUGGAUAGGUUUGAUCUUCUUGCAGUCCAUGGGACUCUCAAGAGUCUCCUCCAGCACCAUAAUUCAAAAGCAUCAAUUCUUCAGCGAUCAGCCUUCUUGAUGGUCCAGCUCUCACUUCCAUACAUCACUACUGGGAAAACCAUGGCUUUAACUAUACAGACCUUUGUUGGCAAGGUGAUGUCUCUGCUAUCCCAACAGAUAGCGAGAUGUAAAGCGUAUUUUUUUUUAAUCAGAAACCAAACUGUAGCAGAAUGGAGACAGCACUGCAUGCAAAAUGAAAACAGUUGAGAACAGAAAUCAGUUCUUUUUUACAUUUCUAAUCCUGAAUUAUUUAGCAAAAGAGGCUAGGUCUGAAUUGAAUGUUCAGGAGUGCCCCUUUGAAAGAAGUCAGUUUAAAAUGCAUAGGGAUCAAUAAAAAUAUGUGUAUCCUGUGCAUCUAGAGAUCUCCUUCUUUAAUUUUUAUUUCAGUUGGUCCCUCCUCACCUAUUUUUCUUGUUCAUGCUUCUUUUUGGUCAUAAUUCCUUAGCUUAGGAUAUGGUAGAUGGCCACAUCAUCAUAGUGAAUGUGCUGAGAAUCCCAGAGAAUAUUUGGCAUACCAGUUUUCUUUUUUUAUUUAUAAAAAAUACUUAUAGGCCAUUCAUAUAAAAUAUCAGGGCAGUAUCCAACCAAAUGUGCAAGUAUAAUCAAACAUAAAAUACUGCAAAAACAAUAGAAUACAAUAUUUGGUUUGGAUGUGCAAAUAAGGGGUCCUGCACCAAAGAGCUUUUAAAAAUAAAUAAAUGAACACCUGUCGUGCUGUGGCUACCGGGGAAUUGCUAUUUUUAAUGAUUUAAAGUCUGCCCUGGACUAUACAGAGGAAGCCACAGCAGUAACGAAUUGACUUCUGAGGAAUCCACUGCACAAUGGGCAAGCCCAAUGGAGAGUCCUUAGAAGUCUCUUCCUAUAGGAUUGAGAGGGACAUGGAUGCAUAUGCCAGAUUCCAAAGAACCAUCUGACAAGUUUCACGUAUCCAAAGGAGACCUUCGGCUUGUCUGUAUUGGAUAGCACCUGUGUUGAAACUGAGUUUCAAUAGUAUUUUGUAAUAUUGCAUGAGGGCCUGCAGUUUAAAGUGGGGGAAUGGGCUGUAGUACGCAUAUCAAGCAUCGCGACUCUUGGCCAAAGUUCCUCAACUAGAACUUGUAGGUGAUCAUUCUUAGGUAAGGUCAUUCUCAUUGGCAAUGCUCCCCCCCCCCUUAAAAAUUUUUUUAGGGUUACUCUCAUUUUGACUCAAGAAAAUCAGCAUUUUAUAGUUCAAAUCGGGGAAAAUAAAAUGAAUAAAUAAAUGGACGAAAGUACAAAGAUUCGCAAAAUGUUUAGGGGUUUGCGUACCCCUGUGUCUCCCCAGAAAAAGCACUGCUUAUGGGAGAUCAAUACGUUGUCUCUAGGAUGUGGUAAAAGGGGUUCCCCUAAAUAGCAGAGACUGCUCAAGAGUCACCACAAGGCCAGUAUCUAAAGAUAAGGGAAUCUUUAAAAUAAAUAAAAAAUCCAAACAAAUUAUUUAAAGCUGCUAUGAUUUUUUUUUUUUUAAUUUUGCCCCUGGUUUGUAGAAUAGAAUUUUCAUUUUUCUUUCUUACUGGUUCCAUGUUCUCAAAUGGGAAUACUGGUUUGGGUGCUGGAGAAAUGCAACCUCCUUUCACUGUACAGUGUAAAAGUAAAAUGAAAUGAAAUCUGUAUUUGGCUUCGAGGCCUGGAUUAAAUAGUGUAUUAGUCACUCGCUAUUGGAUUUGUGUCUGCUACACAUAAUCAAAUCUAUUGCUAAUUGAACAAAAAGGGAUUACAUUGACUGGCUAUAAAAAGGCUUAAGUAUAAAGAUUCCAAAUGGAUAAACCGGCAGCGCUGGCUCAGUGUGUUAUGUUGACUGAGGUGAAAGGAAAAAGGUGCCCAAGACCAGUACUCCUACUGAAGAAAAUAAACAGCAGAAUAAAGCCAUAUGCAGAUACAUUGCUCUAUGGAUAACUCUUCAGCAGAUUCAAAAUUAUAGUUGUGAAUCUGAUAAUUUGUAUUGCAUACUUAC
rnacentral:lncRNA from 1 species